UAUUUCAAAAAAAUAAAACCAUCGAUGCAAUUUAUUGGAUUACCUAACUAGCCCAACAUCAAAAUUCAAAAUACAUCGAUGCAACUUGUUGGAUUACCUAACUACCCGAUAUAAAUGAAAGGAACCUUAACACCCAUACGGAUCGAGUUCCUUCAAUAAAUGAUCCACUCCUUUUAUUUUUAACACAAAAUCUUAAAUCCUAAAUUAUUUCUUUGAACUAUUUAGUUUUAUUUGCAGUAGAGUUAAAAACAUAAUUAUUUUAACAAACAAAAAUUUCAAAAUAAUUAAAAUUAUCUAAAUAAAUAUUAAUUUAUAUAAUUGAGGACUAUACAAAAUACCCUUAACCCUAAGUAACACUAACUCCAAUAACAAAACUAAAAAUAGAUGAAUUAUAAUGGCAAUCCACCCUGAUUACUGAACAAUGAUAAUUUUAUUAAUCACUUCGAGAUAUUGCAUUUCCAAGCAAUGAAACUUCAUCUCUUGCAAACAAGGUGUAGGAUAUAUAUAUAUAUAUAUAUAUAU